rnacentral:rRNA from 1 species
GGGACCUACGGGGGGCAGCAGUGGGGAAUAUUGCGCAAUGGGGGAAACCCUGACGCAGCAACGCCGCGUGAGUGAAGAAGGCCUUCGGGUUGUAAAGCUCUUUAAUCAGGGACGAAGAAUGACGGUACCUGAAGAAUAAGCUCCGGCUAACUACGUGCCAGCAGCCGCGGUAAUACGUAGGGAGCAAGCGUUAUCCGGAUUUACUGGGUGUAAAGGGCGUGUAGGCGGGCCUGCAAGUCAGAAGUGAAAUCUGGGGGCUUAACCCCCAAACUGCUUUGGAAACUGUACAGCUAGAGUGCAGGAGG